UACGUAGGCAGCAAGCGUUGUUCGGAAUUACUGGGCGUAAAGAGUGUGUAGGCGGUGCUCCAAGUCUGGUGUGAAAUCUCCCGGCUUAACUGGGAGGUGCAUUAGAAACUGGAAUGCUAGAGGAUGGGAGAGUAAGCGGAAUUCCUGGUGUAGCGGUGAAAUGCGUAGAUAUCAGGAGGAACACCUGUGGUGUAGACAGCUUACUGGACCAUUCUGACGCUGAGACACGAAAGCGUGGGUAGCAAACAGG
rnacentral:rRNA from 1 species